CAACGGCCGCCGCCGAGGCUCCGCCCCGCACCUGACUGGCCUCGAGAACCCAAGGAGGCGGUGGGUUAUCUCAGCGCGGCACAAAGGAGGCACAUUGAGAAAGGGGCGGGGUUGUCAGCGACUUCAAGAGUCUCUGCAUAUUCUCCUCCAACAAACAACCAGAUAUCUAGAAAAUAAAAGGAUGCCGAAUGGAGAAAGAUGACUGGCCUAAAAAUGAUGACCCUCUUUUGUACUAUUACUUCAUGCUGAGGACAAAGAGGAUACAGGAAAAUUACUCCUUGGCCCAGGAAGUUUAUUAAAAUGCUAAAUGAAGAUCUGGCGGCAGCUCAAAGAACUUUAAAUAACCUUGUGGUGGAAAACCUCCAAAACCUCUUUUUACCGUCAGCUUAAACUAGGCUGGCUGUGACAAAGAGUAAGAAAAUAAGUAGUUUCAAGAGUGCAAAAACACAUCUAUUUUUAAAAGGUAGGUCCAUCCAAUGGUUGCAGGCAAUGUGACACAGCCUCUGAAGCAGGAUGACAAUAAUUUAUCAUAUCAUAUAGCAGUUUUGCGGAGAAG
ensembl:lncRNA